CAGUAGGGCACUCUCGGGAGACUGCCGGGGAUCAGCCGCGAGGAAGGUGGGGAUGACGUCAAGUCCUCAUGGCCCUUACGGGAUGGGCUACACACGUGCUACAAUGGCGGUGACAGUGGGACGCGAAACCGCGAGGUUGAGCAAAUCCCCAAAAACCGUCUGAGUUCAGAUUGCACUCUGCAACUCGAGUGCAUGAAGGCGGAAUCGCUAGUAAUCGUGGAUCAGCAUGCCACGGUGAAUACGU
rnacentral:rRNA from 1 species